rnacentral:misc_RNA from 1 species
CAGAGUUCAUGCCCUCACGGGUAGACCUCCCACCCUUGUGUAUUUAUACCAUGUUGCUUUGGCAGGUUGCUGCACCCCUCGGGGGACAGCCCCAGCGUCUUCGGGCCUGGGAGUCGCCUGCCGGAGGAAAAACAAACUCUGAAUUGUUAGUGUCGUCUGAGUACUAUAUUUUAAUAGUUA